GCAGCGUAACUGCAGUCGAGCGAACGAUGAGAAGCUUGCUUCUCUGAUGUUAGCGGCGGACGGGUGAGUAACACGUGGGUAACCUACCUAUAAGACUGGGAUAACUCCGGGAAACCGGGGCUAAUACCUGAUAAUAUUUUGAACCGCAUGGUUCGAUAGUGAAAGGCGGCUUCGGCUGUCACUUAUAGAUGGACCCGCGCCGUAUUAGCUAGUUGGUAAGGUAAUGGCUUACCAAGGCGACGAUACGUAGCCGACCUGAGAGGGUGAUCGGCCACACUGGAACUGAGACACGGUCCAGACUCCUACGGGAGGCAGCAGUAGGGAAUCUUCCGCAAUGGGCGAAAGCCUGACGGAGCAACGCCGCGUGAGUGAUGAAGGUUUUCGGAUCGUAAAACUCUGUUGUUAGGGAAGAACAAAUUUGUUAGUAACUGAACAAGUCUUGACGGUACCUAACCAGAAAGCCACGGCUAACUACGUGCCAGCAGCCGCGGUAAUACGUAGGUGGCAAGCGUUAUCCGGAAUUAUUGGGCGUAAAGCGCGCGUAGGCGGUUUCUUAAGUCUGAUGUGAAAGCCCACGGCUCAACCGUGGAGGGUCAUUGGAAACUGGGGAACUUGAGUGCAGAAGAGGAGAGUGGAAUUCCAUGUGUAGCGGUGAAAUGCGCAGAGAUAUGGAGGAACACCAGUGGCGAAGGCGGCUCUCUGGUCUGUAACUGACGCUGAUGUGCGAAAGCGUGGGGAUCAAACAGGAUUAGAUACCCUGGUAGUCCACGCCGUANACGAUGAGUGCUAAGUGUUAGGGGGUUUCCGCCCCUUAGUGCUGCAGCUAACGC
rnacentral:rRNA from 1 species